AGAAAUAUAAUCCUGGAAGAAUUACUGUGCAUUCCUUAAAGCAGGAGCUUGGUUAGAAUUUUUUUAAAAAGCCUGUUGAUAACAUGUGGGGAUUUAAACACAUCACAUUUAUUGUAAGAGCAUAGUCCUAAGCAGUAGUAAUUCAAACAUCUUCAUGCUGUUCUGCGUGGUAUCUUGAACUGUGACCUGGGCUCCCUUUCUGAACUGAAGUGUUCUGCUACCAUGGCUACCGCUGACGUUAGCUGCCAGCUCCCAAUAUACCUUGAGAUGCUACUUGGACCAGCUCUGUCUCUCCCCACAAAUACCUGGUUUCAAGCUGUGAUAGUUGUGGUUGUUCUUCAGCACUUUGUGGCCACUGGACUUUGGAGCUGGUGCUUUUAGGGCUACUUCUUCUUCCUGGGCUCUUGAGACUAGUCAGAAUGGCAUGUUCUGUACUCAUUGGCUAAUGGAGAUGGUCUGGAUUUCAUCUUUUGUCAUUGUUCUCCCAAUGAAAAAAAUAAUUUGAACAAGUCCAUAUUUGGAGAGCUUUUUA
rnacentral:lncRNA from 1 species